GGGGGGGGGGGGGGGGGGGGGGGGGGGGGGGGAGGGGGGGGGGGGGGGGGGGGGGGGGGGGGGUGCGGGAGGUGCGCGCGGGUGGUGGGCGCGUGAGUCGCCGGCCCUUGACUUUGGGGGCGCUUCAGGGCGCUGUGGCUGCUACCGGAUAGGAGCCCCUGUUGCUUUUUGUUGGUUUGCCAGUUUCGGCUGUUGGGGAUGGACUCGCGGCUUAUCAGCUUGUUGGUGGGGUAGUGGCUUACCAAGGCUUUGACGGGUAGCCGGCCUGAGAGGGUGACCGGCCACAUUGGGACUGAGAUACGGCCCAGACUCCUACGGGAGGCAGCAGUGGGGAAUAUUGCACAAUGGGCGGAAGCCUGAUGCAGCAACGCCGCGUGCGGGAUGACGGCCUUCGGGUUGUAAACCGCUUUCGCCUGUGACGAAGCGUGAGUGACGGUAAUGGGUAAAGAAGCACCGGCUAACUACGUG
rnacentral:rRNA from 1 species